AUACGUAGGUGGCAAGCGUUGUCCGGAUUUACUGGGCGUAAAGGGAGCGUAGGCGGAUACUUAAGUGGGAUGUGAAAUACCUGGGCUUAACUUGGGUGCUGCAUUCCAAACUGGGUGUCUAGAGUGUUGGAGAGGAAAGUGGAAUUCCUAGUGUAGCGGUGAAAUGCGUAGAGAUUAGGAAGAACACCAGUGGCGAAGGCGACUUUCUGGACAAUAACUGACGCUGAGGCUCGAAAGCGUGGGGAGC
rnacentral:rRNA from 1 species